GGCGCGACUCGCAGCGUCUGUGGUAACCCGGACUGCAGUGAAGGAGAGGGCGAAGGGCGUUGAGCUGUGGGCUGUCUGCCUGGGGGCGGCGGAGGUACCUCGGGGGGUCCCAAUCGGUUCCCGGUGGUCAGAGGAGGAGGAGGAGGAUUGCAUCCCUCACUCCAGCUGAGAGGAGGGAAAAUGACUGCUGGUUCAGUGUGUGUUCCUCAAAUCAUACCACUGAGGGUGCCUCAGCCCGGAAAAGCCAACCAUGAAAUUGAUAACAAUACACUUUUGGAAAUGAAAUCAGACACCCCAGAUGUCAACAUCUAUUAUACCCUGGAUGGCAGCAAACCUGAAUUCCUAAAGAAAAUUGGUUAUGGCGAAAAUAAUACAUUUAAGUACACGAAGCCUAUUACCCUGCCUGAUGGAAAAAUACAAGUUAAAGCUAUUGCAGUCUCUAAAGACUGCAGACAGAGCGCCGUUGUAACAAAGGUGUUUCAGGUGGACUUUGUGCCACCAGAUGCAGCCUCUUCAGAAGACACUGUGGAAAAUGCUCUCAAAGAUUCUUCAAAGCAGGAUUUGAAAAAUGGAUUUGUUGAACCAAAAGUAAGGAAGAAGUAUAAGAAUGCUGAAAAUAAACUGGGUUGGAAUGUUAACCUUGGAAAAUUUCCAGAUAUGGGUGAAAGAAAUGACCCUAAAACUUUAAAAGAUCUUCGCUUCUCAGAGAGUCCACGGGAAACUCCAGCUUUCCGUGAAGAAUCAGCCUCUAGACCAGCCACCCAACAGACCCAGUUCCCUGGUUUUGCGCACAUAACUGGUCAGAAGAGUUUGACAAGCACGGAGAUCAUGAGAAUUCAGAGGGAGACAGACUUUCUCAAGUGUGCCCACUGCCUCGUGCGCCGCCCGUCUGAUCCCUUUGCUCGCUACUGUCUUGAAUGCGGCUCUUCUGUCCCGCCCAUAUUUGGCUGUCGUCUGCCACCCCCAGAAGGAGCUCAGAUGGGCCUGUGUGUGGAGUGUGAAAACCUGGUGCCCAUGAAUGCCCCCAUCUGUGUGGUGUGCGAGGCCCCUCUUGCUCCACAACUGCAGCCACAGGCCAGCCUCCGCCUGAAGGACAAAGUGAUCUGCCGCACCUGCGGCACCGGGAAUCCUGCUCACCUGAGAUACUGCGUCACCUGUGACGGGCCCCUGCCUUCGUCGCAAGAGCCUGGCACUCCUACCUGCUACUCUGUUUGCUCUAAAUGUGGGGCCAGCAAUCACCCAUCUGCCCAGUUCUGUGGCUCCUGUGGUAUUUAUGUGAAGUCCUUGGCAAGACCAAGCAUGGAGAACAGCCUGGCUCCCGCUGCUGGAGAACCUGGCCUUUUUGCUGAGCCUCGAUCUGCCUGGCAGUCCCUCAGUGUUACUUUGCCCAGAGCUGAUGCUGGGACCAAGAAGGACACAGGCACACAGACCACUGGCCUCUUCUACCCAUCUGGGACGCUGCUGGCGAAAAAAGAACUGGAAGUGGCCUCUCAGAAGCAGAGGCAGGAGAAAAUGAGCGACCAUAAGCCUCUCCUCACAGCCGUCAGCCCAGGAAGAGGAUACUGGAGAAAACAGGUGGACCACAUUGCCGCUCACCUCCGGUCUUAUGCUCAGAACAACCCUGAAUUCCGGGCCUUGAUUGCAGAGCCCAGGAUGGGAAAGCUUAUCUCUGCUACUGUCCAUGAGGAUGGCUAUGAAGUCAGCAUCAGGCUGAAUUACAUUCAAGUCUCAAACAAGAACCUUUACCUAAACAAGGCGGUGAACUUCAGUGACCACUUUCUGAGCAGUGUCACCGAGGGUGCAAACGGCCUGUAUGGCAGCAGGUCCAGCUUGGUGAGUGACUACAGCCAGAGCUCCUCGGACGGCGCCGAAAAAGUCACAAGGUCCAAGAAUUUCAAGACCAAAGCGUUUCAAGAAAAGCAGCAGCUUACACCUGAAAACAUGCUCCUGCUGAAGGAAGUUGGACCAGCGGGGGAAGGAAGAGCCUCUGUGAUGGAACAGCUGCUUGAUGAGGGAGCAGACCCCAACUGCAGUGACAGUGAGGACCGCCCCGUCCUUAGCACAGCUGUCAUGAACAAGCACCAUGAAGCGAUUCCGGUUCUUGUGCAGAGAGGAGCAGACGUGGACCAGCAGUGGGGACCCCAUGACUCUCACCUUCCAUCACUCCCGCCAUUUCCGAUCAGGAGCCUCUCGUGAGUUCUAGAAUGCAGGUACCACCCCGUCCUCCAUUUCAGCCAUCCUCUGCUCCCUCACUGGGUCAAAGCUGGCCAGGUAAGGUGGAAAGAUAUUCUGGCACAUAGUGAAAUAUGCUGUCUGACCCCUCAGGCCUGCCCUCUGCAUUCUGUGAUUGCUGUUUAUUUUCUUAUUAUACAAGCCAAACUCACUGAAGCCAAGGUCAUUGUCCCUACUCAAGAAGAGGUGUCUCAGGAGUUCCCACCGUGACACAGUAGAAAUGAGUCUGACUAGGAACCAUGAGGUUGCGGGUUCGAUCCCUGGCCUCGCUCAGUGGGUUACCGUGAGCUGUGGUGUAGGUCGCAAAUGUGACUCAGAUCUGGCAUUGCUAUGGCUGUGGCAUAGGCCGGUGGCUACAGCUCCGAUUGGACCCCUAGCCUGGGAACCUCCGUGUGCCGUGGAUACAGCUCUAAAAAAAAAAAGAAUAGGAGUCUCAGCACUAUAAGGUUAUUGUCAUGUGGACAGCGCCCAAGAGGUUCAAGCUAAGGGUGAGACCAUGUCCAACACGUUCCAUAAACUCUUGCAGGAAAUAUACUAACCUAGUUUUUAUUAGCACUUAUUAAAUUGACUACUAACCAGAUCCUUGUGGGGUUUCUCACUUUGAAACAAUAAACAUGUUGACAGCUUUUCAUUUUCUGGCUGGUCAUCAAUGUUUACCCUCCAAAUCCUCCAAGGAAAGAAGCAGAGAGGGGAGAGUCAGGAGCUUUUCCUGGCUUAGUUGAAUAGAUCAGUGAGGAGUUCCCAUCAUGUUUCAGCGGUAACGAACCUGACUAGUAUCCAUCAGGAUGCAGGUUCGAUCCCUGGCCCUACUCAGUGGGUUAAGGAUCCAGCAUUGCCAUAAGCUGUGAUGUAGGUCGCAGAGGUGGCUUGGAUCUGGUGUUGCUCUUUCUGUGGCGUAGGCCGGCAACUACAGCUCUGAUUUGAUCCCAGCCUGGGAACUUCCAUAUGCCGCAGGCGUGGCCCUAAAAAGCAGGCUCCAAAAUACAGCUCUUCAUGAAGCAACCCUGCUUGGCCGGGCAGGAAUGGAGUGCAUCGCUGCCUUACUGCGAUGCAAUGCGAGCGUCCAGAAGAAGAAUGCGCGAGGCCAGACAGCAUACGACCUGGCUCUGGAAGCCGCGGAUGAGCCUGUCACCUCGCUCUUUGCUGCUCAGCUCGGCCUGGAUGACCGUGAGCCCUGAGGGCCCCGCAGGCCUCCGUUAAAGAAACCACCCAGCUCUAGCUAGUCUUUGUCCGCUUCUUUCCGCAAUGUGUAUUUGAGCUUUAGAAACUGAGGUUGAGAGGCACUCCUAAGAUUUUUAAAAAUUGGAGUUCCCUGGUGGCCUAGUGGUUAAGGAUCUAGUAUCGUCACUGCAGCAGCUCGGGUCCCUGCCGUGGCGCUGGUUCCAUCCCUGGCCCAGGAACUUCUGCAUGCCACAGACAUGUCCACAAAAAAAACAUUAUGUGAUCAUAUAAGCCACCAAUAUCACGAGUAUUUCCCCAACAUGCCCUGGAUGGUGAUGAGCUUAACUAACGUAUGCUUUCAGUGGUGUAUUGCUGCUUGUCUUCGAACUUGCUUUUAAUUUAAAAUUUUUUCCCCAGUAGAUCCUAGUUACCUAUGGCUUUGAGCUAAAAAGUCUAAAAUAUUGUGUAGUGAAGAGUCUCCCUCCCGUGCCUGUCCCACAGCCCCCAUGUCCCCUCUGCAGAAGCAGCCAGUGAUGCCAGUGUCAACUGUGUCUUUCCAGGAGUAGUUUAGGAUUGUAGAAGCACUUGUGUGUUGUGUACAUUCGUGUUCGUGUAGCGUAUACGUAAGACGUAAAUAAUAGAGGUGACACUCAUUUAUUCUUUCCCCUCUGGUAAGACAACUAGUGGGAAACCCCACACUACCCUGCAUGUUCUUGUGCCUAAAAUGUCUUGUAAGUGGUACCAAAUUAGUAGAUAAAAGAUUGAGCUUAUUGAAAAGUUUCUCCCCUAAGCCGAACUCCUCAAUAUUCCUCUUGUUCCGGUCUGUUCUGUGGUUGCCAAGUAAGCUUCAAAUAAACCAAUCGCAGGAAUGUGUGAUUUGGAUCCA